CGGGGUGUGGCGCAGUUGGUAGCGCGCUUGGUUUGGGACCAAGAUGCCGGGGGUUCAAGUCCUCUCACCCCGACCA
rnacentral:tRNA from 1 species